UACAGAGGGUGCGAGCGUUAAUCGGAAUUACUGGGCGUAAAGCGUGCGUAGACGGUUAUGUAAGUCGGGUGUGAAAGCCCCGGGCUCAACCUGGGAAUUGCAUUCGAGACUGCAUAGCUAGGAUGCGGAAGAGGGAAGUGGAAUUUCCGGUGUAGCGGUGAAAUGCGUAGAUAUCUGGAGGAAUACCGGUGGCGAAGGCGGCAUCCUGGACCGAUAUUGACACUGAUGAGCGAAAGCUAGGGGAGCAAACGGG
rnacentral:rRNA from 1 species